CGGCGGACGGGUGAGUAACGCGUGGGUAACCUGCCUCAUACAGGGGGAUAACAGUUGGAGACGGCUGCUAAUACCGCAUAAGCGCACAGUACCGCAUGGUACGGUGUGAAAAACUCCGGUGGUAUGAGAUGGACCCGCGUCUGAUUAGGUAGUUGGUGGGGUAACGGCCUACCAAGCCGACGAUCAGUAGCCGACCUGAGAGGGUGACCGGCCACAUUGGGACUGAGACACGGCCCAA
rnacentral:rRNA from 1 species